rnacentral:rRNA from 1 species
GUGGGGAAUCUUGCGCAAUGGGCGAAAGCCUGACGCAGCCAUGCCGCGUGAAUGAUGAAGGUCUUAGGAUUGUAAAAUUCUUUCACCGGGGACGAUAAUGACGGUACCCGGAGAAGAAGCCCCGGCUAACUUCGUGCCAGCAGCCGCGGUAAUACGAAGGGGGCUAGCGUUGCUCGGAAUUACUGGGCGUAAAGGGCGCGUAGGCGGACAGUUUAGUCAGAGGUGAAAGCCCAGGGCUCAACCUUGGAAUUGCCUUUGAUACUGGCGAUCUUGAGUCCGGAAGAGGUGAGUGGAACUCCUAGUGUAGAGGUGGAAUUCGUAGAUAUUAGGAAGAACACCAGUGGCGAAGGCGGCUCACUGGUCCGGUACUGACGCUGAGGUGCGAAAGCGUGGGGAGCAAACAGGAUUAGAAACCCCGGUAGUCC